rnacentral:rRNA from 1 species
AGAGUUGAUCCUGGCUCAGAACGAACGCUGGCGGCGUGCUUAACACAUGCAAGUCGUACGAGAAAGGGGCUUCGGUCCUGAGUAGAGUGGCGCACGGGUGAGUAACGCGUGGGUAUCUGCCCUUAGGUUUGGAAUAACUUGUCGAAAGGCAAGCUAAUACCAGAUAAUAUUGUAAAAUCAAAACCGCAAGGUGCCUAAGGAUGAGCCCGCGUCCCAUUAGCUAGUUGGUAGGGUAAUGGCCUACCAAGGCGACGAUGGGUAGCUGGUCUGAGAGGAUGAUCAGCCACACUGGAACUGAAACACGGUCCAGACUCCUACGGGAGGCAGCAGUGAGGAAUAUUGCGCAAUGGGAGAAAUCCUGACGCAGCAACGCCGCGUGAGUGACGAAGGCCUUCGGGUUGUAAAGCUCUGUUGAGAGGGAAGAAUUCUGACGGUACCUCUCGAGGAAGCACCGGCUAACUCCGUGCCAGCAGCCGCGGUAAUACGGAGGGUGCAAGCGUUGUUCGGAAUCACUGGGCGUAAAGCGGGUGUAGGCGGUUUAUUAAGUCAGAUGUGAAAGCCCAAGGCUUAACCAUGGAAGUGCAUCUGAAACUGAUAGACUAGAGUUCUAGAGAGGAAAGUGGAAUUCCUGGUGUAGGAGUGAAAUCCGUAGAUAUUAGGAGGAAUACCAGUGGCGAAGGCGACUUUCUGGAUAGAUACUGACGCUAAGACCCGAAAGCGUGGGGAGCAAACAGGAUUAGAUACCCUGGUAGUCCACGCCCUAAACGAUGGAUACUAGGUGCAGGGGGUAUCAACUCCUCCUGUGCCGUCGCUAACGCAUUAAGUAUCCCGCCUGGGGAGUAUGGCCGCAAGGUUGAAACUCAAAGGAAUUGACGGGGGCCCGCACAAGCGGUGGAGCAUGUGGUUUAAUUCGACGCAACGCGAAGAACCUUACCUGGGUUUGACAUCCCGAGAAUUUUGCAGAAAUGUGAAAGUGCCUCUUCGGAGGAGCUCGGUGACAGGUGCUGCAUGGCUGUCGUCAGCUCGUGUCGUGAGAUGUUGGGUUAAGUCCCGCAACGAGCGCAACCCUUGCCUUUAGUUGCCACCAUUUAGUUGGGCACUCUAGAGGGACUGCCGGUGUUAAACCGGAGGAAGGUGGGGAUGACGUCAAGUCCUCAUGGCCCUUAUGUCCAGGGCUACACACGUGCUACAAUGGUCGGUACAAAGGGUGGCGAGCCUGUGAGGGUUAGCUAAUCCCAAAAAACCGAUCUCAGUUCGGAUUGGAGUCUGCAACUCGACUCCAUGAAGUUGGAAUCGCUAGUAAUCCCGGAUCAGCAUGCCGGGGUGAAUACGUUCCCGGGCCUUGUACACACCGCCCGUCACACCACGAAAGUUGGCUGUACCAGAAGUCAUUGUGCUAACCGCAAGGAGGCAGGUGCCCAAGGUAUGGUCAGUGAUUGGGGUGAAGUCGUAACAAGGUAACC